UAAUGAGGCUAUAUACAGGGGUACAGGUUAGUAAUGAGGCUAUAUACAGGGGGUACAGGUUAGUAAUGAGGCUAUAUACAGGGGGUACAGGUUAGUAAUGAGGCUAUAUACAGGGGGUACAGGUUAGUAAUGAGGCUAUAUACAGGGGGUACAGGUUAGUAAUGAGUUUAUAUACAGGGGGUACAGGUUAGUAAUGAGGCUAUAUACAGGGGGUACAGGUUAGUAAUGAGACUAUAUACAGGGGGUACAGGUUAGUAAUGAGGCUAUAUACAGGGGGUACAGGUUAGUAAUGAGACUAUAUACAGGGGGUACAGGUUAGUAAUGAGGCUAUAUACAGGGGGUACAGGUUAGUAAUGAGGCUAUAUACAGGGGGUACAGGUUAGUAAUGAGGCUAUAUACAGGGGGUACAGGUUAGUAAUGAGGCUAUAUACAGGGGGUACAGGUUAGUAAUGAGGCUAUAUACAGGGGGUACAGGUUAGUAAUGAGGCUAUAUACAGGGGGUACAGGUUAGUAAUGAGACUAUAUACAGGGGGUACAGGUUAGUAAUGAGACUAUAUACAGGGGGUACAGGUUAGUAAUGAGGCUAUAUACAGGGGGUACAGGUUAGUAAUGAGGCUAUAUACAGGGGGUACAGGUUAGUAAUGAGGCUAUAUACAGGGGGUACAGGUUAGUAAUGAGGCUAUAUACAGGGGGUACAGGUUAGUAAUGAGGCUAUAUACAGGGGGUACCGGUACCGAGUCAAUGUGCGGGGGUACAGGUUAGUAAUGAGGCUAUAUACAGGGGGUACCGGUACCGAGUCAAUGUGCGGGGGGUACAGGUUAGUAAUGAGGCUAUAUACAGGGGGUAGACAUAAAGUUAAUAUCUUUGCUCCAUGUUUUGCAGUAUUACUUUAGUGCGUUAUUGCAAACAGGAUGUAUGUUUUGGAAUAUUUUUUAUUCUGUACAGGCUUCCUUCAUUUCACUCUGUCUUGGGUUAAUAUUGUGGAGUAACUACAAUGUUGUUGAUCCAUCCUCAGUUUUCUUCUAUCACCGCCAUUUAAACUCUAACUGUUUUAAAGUCACCAUUAACCUCAUGGUGAAAUCUCUGAGACGUUUCCUUCCUCUCCGGCAACUGAGUUAGGAAGGACGCCUGUAUCUUUGUAGUGACUGGGUACAUUGAUACACCAUCCAAAGUGUAAAUUAAUAACUUCACCAUGCUCAAAGGGAUAUUUACAUUUUUACACCAAUUUGGUAGCCUUCUUUGUGAGGCAUUGGAAAACCUCCCUGGUCUUUGUGGUUGAAUCAGUGCUUCAAAAUUCACUGCUCGACCGAGGGACCUUAAAGAUAAUUGUAUGUGUGGGAUAGAGAGACGAGG